GGGGAUUUUCUUUGUGGUCUAUUUCACCUUUAACAUUGCUGUUUCAUGUCUGUGUUAUAUUAGACCUUUGAUUAUAUGGGCAUAAACAAUACAGCACUCCAACAUAAUAGAUGCAGGAUCUAGGUUACCCACCUCCAGGUAACUUCCACAAGGUUCAAGCUAAUCCUACUGAUUGCCAAAAAAUCUUUUUGACACUUUAUUGGAGCUACAGG